rnacentral:rRNA from 1 species
GAUGAACGCUGGCGGCGUGCCUAACACAUGCAAGUCGAACGGAAGGACAGUAAGUUUUUGCUUUUACGGGUAGCGGCUGGCGGGCGAGUAACGCGUGUAUCAUCUUCUUCCUUUUCGUGGAGGAUAACGUAGGGACGGCUACGAUAACACAUCAUAUUCUGUACCGGGGAGAGCAAGGGAUAUUUGCAGCUUUUGUGUCUGUAUUAGCUGAUGUCGUAUUAGCUAGUUGGGGGGGUAAAGGCCCACCAUGGCGACGCUCCGUAGCUGGUCUGAGAGGAUGAUCAGCCACACUGGAACUGAGACACGGUCCAGACUCCUACGGGAGGCAGCAGUGGGGAAUAUUGGACAAUGGGCGCAAGCCUGAUCCAGCCAUACCGCGUGGGUGAAGAAGGCCUUCGGGUUGUAAAGCCCUUUUGUUGGGAAAGAAAAGCAGCAGGUUAAUACCCCGCUGUUCUGACGGUACCCAAAGAAGAAGCACCGGCUAACUUCGUG